rnacentral:lncRNA from 1 species
UCCGAAGUGGCUGCUGUGUAAAUGGCAAGCCGAAAACGCGAAUCUAGCCACCCCAAACAUCGAUCCAUGUAACUUUUGUCCCAAUUCCUAUAAAAUAUCAUAAAACAUGCAUGAAUAGACACAAACACAUAAAAACAUCCUAAAAGACUUAAGAACAACAAUAAAUUAAGCCCGAAUGUAUCCAAUUCAUGGGUAUAAAACUCAGUCAUCCAAUACCCCCAAACUUAAAUGUUUGCUUGUCCUCAAGUAAAAACACAAAAAUGUUAUGCAAUGCAAUGUAAUGUAAUGAAACUAAUCUAUAUGCCUACGAAUCCAACAGUAAUGACAGAAACAAGUCUAUUCAACCGGCCUUAGAGAAAUCAAGUAAACAUGAUAAUACAUCAUAUUAAAACAAAUCAGUAAUUUCCCAAUCAAUCAUCAAAUCUUAGACUGUUAUCACUGAUAUAGUGCGUGUGUGCUCCACAACAAUGUUAACUGAUAUAAAAUCAAAUUUAAGACAUAAUAGAUAUCUUUGAAGGCAUCAUACAGUGCAAAUUCACAAAAUUCACGAACAAGCUAUAUCCAACUAAAGUCAAACAUCCACCAAGUUCAAGAGUCCAAUCUGGGAUACUUAUGCUUUACUUUUCAUUACGGGGGCUUUUUGCUCUUUUCCCGUUUUUUUUUUUUUUUUUUAACCAUAACUGUGCAAUGUCUCAUUCCAUUAGGCUAACAGUGUCACCCCUUAGCGAGCUUUCGACCAACGACUCCCAGACCAUAUAAGACCUUAGGGCGCUAGGUUUUAAGAUACCCCUUCGGGC